AAAACUGGAAUCAACCUAAAUGUUCUUCAGCAGAUGAAUGGUUCAACAAACUGUGGUACGUUCAUACCCUGGAAUAUUACUCAGCGAUAAA